CGGACGGGUGAGUAAUGUCUGGGAAACUGCCCAUGGAGGGGGAUAACUACUGGAAACGGUAGCUAAUACCGCAUAACGUCGCAAGACCAAAGAGGGGGACCUUGGGCCUCUUGCCAUCGGAUGUGCCCAGAUGGGAUUAGCUAGUAGGUGGGGUAACGGCUCACCUAGGCGACGAUCCCUAGCUGGUCUGAGAGGAUGACCAGCCACACUGGAACUGAGACACGGUCCAG
rnacentral:rRNA from 1 species